CCUUCCAUCCGCCCAAUCUCGCUCUCUCCUCUUCCAUCCACGCGUACCUUGCAGCAAGCUCUGGAGGUUAAGCUGCGCCUGCUGGUGCAGCUCUUCGACACACUCGGGCCUGCUCCACGAGCCAAACACGUUCACGCUCUGUUGCCAUGGAGACCUGAAGUGGGCCGUGCAGUUGCCGCUGCCGCCGCUUCCUCCUCGUCCGCCGCCGCCGCCGCCGCUGCUACUGCUGUGGUUAGCGUCGUUGCCGCGGCUGCUGCUCGUGCCUCCACGCCUGGCGCCCUCCGCCUCGAGUCCGCUGGUGGCUGCAGGAGGCGGGAGCGAAAGUGAUGGAUGCAGCGAGAGAGAGACGGGAGGAGAGAGAGAGGAGAGGGUGGGAAUUAAGAUUAUUGCCAGUGAGGAUUGAGGAUGGCAGGAUGAGGGUGAACGAGGACGAGAGGAGUAAAUAAAAUGUGUGUUUCAGUGUACCAGAGGAGAGUCAGGCUCAUCGGGUUGCUGGUGGUACACCGUGGAGCUCUGUUGAAGUGUGGACGGCAGUGUUUUUGUCGCUCAUGUAAGUAACCACUAACCUACAUUAGCAAACAAUUCAACAAUUUCACUGAAAAAAAAGGACAAAUCGUCGUCAUCGUUAGACUCUUCUAAAAGAGGUAGUGUUCUGUUUGUGGUGUAGAAUUAAGCAGGCCUAUUAACUCUUCAUAAACUUUAAUCACACGCUCUGUCCGGGUUGUAUUAUACAGCUAACAAUGUAGCUUUCUCUCUCCUCCCCUCCUCCCCUUCUCCUCCUCUUGUUCUACAGCUGUUGGUCCCAUUAGCAGUGUCACAGUGCCCUCUGCUGGUCAAGCAUGUAGCAGUAUAAAUAUGGACUUUAUAAGGCAAAACACAUGAAAAUAUAGACUAGUCGGCUUUGUUCGUAUCUCCGAAAGUUCGCACGUCAGGUGUUCGUUAGUAGGGGACUUGGUGUAUGUGAAACUAGACGAAGUUUGCUUCUCUGAUUUUCUUUGUGCUGGUAAGGUAUCUGUUCUGUAUAAAGCUCUGCAAUAGCAAGAAACAAUAUCUUGUAAAGAAGUGCUGCUUGUCUUGUUGCACUCCGGGAGAGGUUUCUCAAAGAGGACACAAUACCGGAAGUCACAGAUGACCACAAUGUAGAAGUGGAUGAGGAUGUCUUUCCAAAGAAGUCUGUUUUGUCUACACUGAUGAUGAUCCUUAGUUCCUGGCUGGAGGCGAAGCUGCUGAACGCACCUGUAAUUGAGUGCCUACGCCACUACUUAAGAUGACUACGGACAGCUGGAGAACGCCGGAUUAUUCCUUCGCUACACCACGUUCCAGCCGUGUGUGUCCCUCAGCCUCGUACUGUUUCCAGUCUCUUGCUAGCGCUCAGCAGACUCUGCCUCCAACCGGCAUUAUUUGUGUUCUAUUUUUUCAUGGUGAACCUGUUUUGUCACCAUCGCUUUUCGUUGUGAAUUCUGGAACAGAAUAAAUUCUGUGCUCACCUACCUGCCUCCAGCCUCUGCAUUUGGGGUUCCCAGACCGGCACCUAACCGCACCGUGACAUUUACAUCUUAACUCAGAGACAGUUGUCUGCUGGAUGUCUAUAACUCUCACCGGCUGAAUCCUCCAGGAACUCUGAUGGCUGCUCAGGCAAGACAGUGACUCUUGGUAAUAAUGUGGCACAAGGUGUCUUCAACUCCGGGACUGCAAUCUUGGUUGUUUUGUGAUAUCUUAGCAUUUAUAAGCACUACUCUUCAGAUCUGUCUCUUCUGCAACAAGAAGGUGAAGCACCAUCUUCACAUGCCAAGAAAAAUAUCGCUGAUAGAAAGGGAGAAGUUAACACAUUUCAAGCGCCUUCAUGCCCAAGUCACAUGGCUGUGAUUCACCAUUUUAUGUUGUAUCAGAAAAUUGUAUGACCUGAUUUAUCAGAAUGGGAUCCACGAAGAUGUUUCAUGUGCUGGAGUAAAUUCAACGGUUUACCUCAUGUUACACAAUGUUGCACUAAACAGACUAUGUUUUUAUUGUUCUUGAUGACUAAAUCUAAUGCAGUGUGUAUGUUAUUGACUGUGUCAUGCAACUCAAGCUGCACUGUUAUGACCUUGAAGGUGGUCUAAAUGUAAUUGUUUU